rnacentral:rRNA from 14 species
GGAGGAAGGUGGGGAUGACGUCAAGUCCUCAUGGCCCUUAUGGGUAGGGCUUCACACGUCAUACAAUGGUCGGUACAGAGGGUUGCCAAGCCGCGAGGUGGAGCCAAUCCCAGAAAACCGAUCGUAGUCCGGAUCGCAGUCUGCAACUCGACUGCGUGAAGUCGGAAUCGCUAGUAAUCGUGGAUCAGAAUGUCGCGGUGAAUACGUUCCCGGGUCUUGUACACACCGCCCGUCACACCAUGGGAGUGGGUUCUACCAGAAGUGGCUAGUCUAACCGCAAGGAGGACGGUCACCACGGUAGGAUUCAUGACUGGGGUGAAGUCGUAACAAGGUAGCCGUAUCGGAAGGUGCGGCUGGAUCACCUCCUU